CAUUUUAUGCUAAAUAAAACUAGAUAAAUGUUUUUCGAAAAAUUUAAAAAUGUGUAUGCAUUUUUAACAAGUUGCUAAAUAAUACAUUAUAAAUAAUACAUAAAACAUUUCUUUAACAAGUUAAAAAAAAAUUUCAACAAUGUAUUGCUGCACUUUAUUGUUAUAUGAACUUGUUGAUAAACUGUCAUUAAGUUUUAAGUCUAUUAGUGGAACAAGUUUUCAAUCUGCAAUAUAAAUGUAACUACGAUACCUAAAAUCUUAAAAAGCCUUUAUCUGCAGUGGGGGAAAAACAACUUUCCUGGGUGAAAAAACUGAGUUUGAAGACUCAUAAUUUUAUUAUGAUAAAAUAAAUGAUAUAACAAGGUCUUUGUCAGCUCUGCUGAUAAUGUUUUGGAUAAAAUAAUGUCAAAUUGUGUUAUACCAUUGUUUAAGAAAGCUGGAACUUAUGGAAAUCAUUUAAAAAAACUUUAUUGAGUAGAGUAAUAAUAGAAACAUUAGUGUCACAUACAUCAAAAUUCGAUUUGGUCGUUAAGUUGAAAGGUGAUUGAAUAAUAGAAUAAAUAGCUUUUAGAAUAGCAAAAAAAAAAAACUACUUUAUUAUGUUUUUGUAUGCUUAAAUUGUAAAUAAAC